AUUGAACGCUGGCGGCAGGCCUAACACAUGCAAGUCGAGCGGGGUUUUCGGACCUAGCGGCGGACGGGUGAGUAAUGCGUAGGAAGCUACCCGAUAGAGGGGGAUACCAGUUGGAAACGACUGUUAAUACCGCAUAAUGUCUACGGACCAAAGUGUGGGACCUUCGGGCCACAUGCUAUCGGAUGCGCCUACGUGGGAUUAGCUAGUUGGUGGGGUAAUGGCUCACCAAGGCGACGAUCCCUAGCCGGUUUGAGAGGAGGAUCAGCCACACUGGAACGGAGACACGGUCCAGACUCCUACGGGAGGCAGCAGUGGGGAAUAUUGGACAAUGGGCGCAAGCCUGAUCCAGCCAUGCCGCGUGUGUGAAGAAGGCCUUCGGGUUGUAAAGCACUUUCAGUAGGGAGGAAGGGUGUUGUGUUAAUAGCACAGCAUUUUGACGUUACCUACAGAAGAAGCACCGGCUAACUCUGUGCCAGCAGCCGCCGUAAGAC
rnacentral:rRNA from 1 species